GCUUGCAUCAGCUAGCACAUACUAAAAUUGGAACAAUACAGCGAAGAUCACCAGAGCCCCAUUGCAAGGCUGAUCCGUGAAUCUGUGGUGUUCCGUAGGGAAAA